rnacentral:rRNA from 1 species
GAGUUUGAUUAUGGCUCAGAACGAACGCUGGCGGCGCGUCUUAAGCAUGCAAGUCGAACGGUAAGGGAGAGCUUGCUCUCCCCUAGAGUGGCGGACUGGUGAGUAACGCGUGGGUGACCUGCCCUGAAGAUGGGGAUAGCUAGUAGAAAUAUUAGAUAAUACCGAAUGUGCUCAUUUACAUAAAGGUAAAUGAGGAAAGGAGCUACGGCUCCGCUUCAGGAUGGGCCCGCGUCCCAUUAGCUGGUUGGUGAGGUAAAGGCCCACCAAGGCAACGAUGGGUAUCCGGCCUGAGAGGGUGAACGGACACAUUGGGACUGAGAUACGGCCCAAACUCCUACGGGAGGCAGCAGCUAAGAAUCUUCCGCAAUGGACGAAAGUCUGACGGAGCGACGCCGUGUGAAUGAAGAAGGCUGAAAGGUUGUAAAAUUCUUUUGCAGAUGAAGAAUAAAACACAGGAGGGAAUGC